CUGUGAGGUUGAAGGCUUCCAGCAUUCUGAAGCCUGCAGCAACAAAGUCAUCAAUGAAUAAAGGAAAGGUCACAGUGAGGAUUCAUACGUUUAUGGGAGUGGAUUUAACACUCACCAGACAGGUACUUGGAGGCUGCGCCCGUGCAUGCUGUCAAAAGCACAUCUGUCUGCACAGACCUGCAUUCCUGAGGGUCCAACAACAUCAAAAGCGCCGAUCACGGUGGAGACAAAGUUCACGACUUUGGUGAAACUCUCCUCGCCGAUACUCCAGGACCCGUCGAUGACGAACACCACAUCUGCUUUGGCACCUUUACAAACUGAGCCUGAUCUUCUGGGUUCCAUCUUUCCUGGAAGUAUCAUGUCAUUCGUGGGAUGGAAAGACCAAAGCCACAGCAAGUGAGUCAACGUUACAUCACUCCUGAGGGAAAGCGACCCCAAAAAGUGGCCAUUGCGGACUUACCUGCCCACGCAGGGGGGA